rnacentral:tRNA from 1 species
AGUGUAGCUCAGUGGUAGAGCACUCACCUAGGAUGUGUGAGACCCUGGGUUCCAUGCCCAGAACU